ACCUGGCUGGCUGGGUUGGAAGAGCAUGGGACUCUUGAUCUCAGGAUCAUGAGCUCAAGUCCCAUGUUGGGUG
rnacentral:tRNA from 1 species